UGAUAUGUUUGAUAUUGGGUUGUUGAAUUAGGAGCCAACUAAAUGUCAAACAUAUUCUUA
rnacentral:pre_miRNA from 1 species